rnacentral:lncRNA from 1 species
UCCCACGUGAUUAGAGAAACAAAGAAGGUUUUGUGAACUUAAAGGUGGCGGGGAAGCAUAGUUGCAUCUCAUUAUACACUGAAGAAUGGGAAGGAUAAUUUUUUCCAUUAGCGGCUAUUUCAUAUGAGGAAACCUUCCCCUGCCUGCACAAAGUCCCUGAAGAAACAUCCAGCAGGACCAGGAUGAAGCAUACCUUCAGAUGACUCUGUGAAAUACUUCCUUGGUCACUUUGCCAGUAACCAUGAAACCCCGGCAAAACAUCAUAAGUUCAGCCAACCCAAAACUGCAAAACUGACUACACUAAAAAUUAACAGGUCCUUCCAUUGAUUUUGAAGGGCUUAAAUUCUCCACCCAGGAGUUUAAAUUCUCCACCCACCAAACAGACUGAAUCUAC